rnacentral:rRNA from 1 species
UACAGAGGGGGCAAGCGUUAUUCGGAAUUAUUGGGCGUAAAGGGCGCGUAGGCGGCUUUGCAAGUGGCGGGUGAAAUCCCUCGGCUUAACCGAGGAACUGCCUGCCAGACUGUGAGGCUUGAGACCGGGAGAGGUGAGUGGAAUUCCCAGUGUAGCGGUGAAAUGCGUAGAUAUUGGGAGGAACACCAGUGGCGAAGGCGGCAUCCUGGACCGGUAUUGACACUGAGGCGCGAAAGCCAGGGGAGCAAACGGG